UUGAAUCUGUGUUCCUAGACACUGUUUCCAGCAAAUUACAAAACAACAAUGUUUAUACUAUUGCCAAGAGGAAUGUGGAAGGGCAGGACAUGCUGUACCAAUCCCUGAAGCUCACGAAUGGUAUUUGGAUUUUGGCUGAGCUACGUAUCCAGCCAGGAAACCCAAAUUAUACGCUGUCGCUGAAAUGUAGAGCUCCCGAAGUCUCUCAGUACAUCUAUCAGGUCUACGACAGCAUUUUGAAAAACUAAUAGACUGGUCCGGGGCCCUCCGGCCACCCUGUGAUUGGUGCAAGCCAAGAACUCUUAACUGGAAGAAAUCGUAUUGCCGUGUAGAAUCUGAACCCAAACACACUGAGGCCGCCCACCAAGGUAGUGACUAGUCUAACCUGUGCUAACAUUAGGGCACAACCUGUUGGAUAAUUUUAGCUUCCUGUGAAAAUUUGUAACCACUGCUUCGAUCACACCCCACCUCUUGCCACCUGCCUCUGCGAUCUGUCCUUACUUGUGAGCUUCUCCAUAGUGUAGUUUGAUAUUUUGUAAUUGAGAGUUCAUUUCAAAAGCAGAAAAAGACAAAAAAUAUUAAAGCAAGGAAAAGUGUCACUGAAACAUAAA